CCUACGGGGUGCAGCAGUCGAGAAUCAUUCACAAUGGGGGAAACCCUGAUGGCGCGACGCCGCGUGGGGGAAUGAAGGUCUGCGGAUUGUAAACCCCUGUCAUGUGGGAGCAAAUUAAAAAGAUAGUACCACAAGAGGAAGAGACGGCUAACCCUGUGCCAGCAGCCGCGGUAAUACAGAGGUCUCAAGCGUUGUUCGGAAUCACUGGGCGUAAAGCGUGCGUAGGCUGUUUCGUAAGUCGUGUGUGAAAGGCGCGGGCUCAACCCGCGGACGGCACAUGAUACUGCGAGACUAGAGUAAUGGAGGGGGAACCGGAAUUCUCGGUGUAGCCGUGAAAUGCGUAGAUAUCGAGAGGAACACUCGUGGCGAAGGCGGGUUCCUGGACAUUAACUGACGCUGAGGCACGAAGGCCAGGGGAGCGAAAAGGAUUAGAUACCCCGGUAGUC
rnacentral:rRNA from 1 species